rnacentral:rRNA from 1 species
UAUGAACGCUAGCAGCAGGCUUAAUACAUGCAAGUCGAGGGACAGCACAGGUAGCAAUACUGGGUGGUAACCGGCAAACGGGUGCGGAACACGUACACAACCUUCCUUUAAGUGGGGGAUAGCCCAGAGAAAUUUGGAUUAAUACCCCGUAAUAUAGUUGAAUGGCAUCAUUUGAUUAUUAUAGCUACGGCGCUUAAUGAUGGGUGUGCGGCUGAUUAGAUAGUUGGCGGGGUAACGGCCCACCAAGUCUACGAUCAGUAGCUGAUGUGAGAGCAUGAUCAGCCACACGGGCACUGAGACACGGGCCCGACUCCUACGGGAGGCAGCAGUAAGGAAUAUUGGUCAAUGGACGCAAGUCUGAACCAGCCAUGCCGCGUGAAGGAUUAAGGUCCUCUGGAUUGUAAACUUCUUUUAUUUGGGACGAAAAAGGGCCUUUCUAGGUCAACUGACGGUACCAGAUGAAUAAGCACCGGCUAACUCCGUGCCAGCCGCCGCAGUAAUAC